rnacentral:rRNA from 1 species
AUGCAGUCGAGCGGAGAUGAGGUGCUUGCACCUUAUCUUAGCGGCGGACGGGUGAGUAAUGCUUAGGAAUCUGCCUAUUAGUGGGGGACAACAUUCCGAAAGGAAUGCUAAUACCGCAUACGCCCUACGGGGGAAAGCAGGGGAUCUUCGGACCUUGCGCUAAUAGAUGAGCCUAAGUCGGAUUAGCUAGUUGGUGGGGUAAAGGCCUACCAAGGCGACGAUCUGUAGCGGGUCUGAGAGGAUGAUCCGCCACACUGGGACUGAGACACGGCCCAGACUCCUACGGGAGGCAGCAGUGGGGAAUAUUGGACAAUGGGCGGAAGCCUGAUCCAGCCAUGCCGCGUGUGUGAAGAAGGCCUUUUGGUUGUAAAGCACUUUAAGCGAGGAGGAGGCUACUUAGAUUAAUACUCUAGGAUAGUGGACGUUACUCGCAGAAUAAGCACCGGCUAACUCUGUGCCAGCAGCCGCGGUAAUACAGAGGGUGCGAGCGUUAAUCGGAUUUACUGGGCGUAAAGCGUGCGUAGGCGGCUGAUUAAGUCGGAUGUGAAAUCCCUGAGCUUAACUUAGGAAUUGCAUUCGAUACUGGUCAGCUAGAGUAUGGGAGAGGAUGGUAGAAUUCCAGGUGUAGCGGUGAAAUGCGUAGAGAUCUGGAGGAAUACCGAUGGCGAAGCAGCCAUCUGGCCUAAUACUGACCGCUGAGGUACGAAAGCAUGGGGAGCAAACAGGAUUAGAUACCCUGGUAGUCCAUGCCGUAAACGAUUGUCUACUAGCCGUUGGGGC